GCAGCUCAUAGCAAAAGCUCAUGAAUACAUGGACUUGUUCUUUGGCAUGCAACUCUCACAGAAGCAAAGGGCUCAGAGAAAGACUGGUGACCACUGCGGAUAUGCCAGUAGCUUCAUUGGCAGGUUCUCCUCCAAACUUCCAUGGAAAGAAACACUUUCUUUCAGAUAUAGUGCUGACAGCCACUGCUCAGUCAAUGACUAUUUUGUGAAUGUAAUGGGUGAAGAUUUCAAAGAAAUCGGGUAAGAACACAUAAUCAAGAGUAUAAUGUUGUGCUUCUGCAAUAAAAGAAAUAUAUCUACUCAAACUAAUUUCAUGAUCUCUAUAAGUGGAUUAUGUCAUCACUAAUCACUAAACCAACAAAUAAUCAUCAUGAUCUCAUACAUUACCAAUAGCCCUUUACUUAUGCAGCAUAUUUUUUCCCUGCUAGGAAGGUGUACCAAGAAUACUGUGAAGCCGUGAGCAAUCUCUCCAGUGGGAUAAUGGAGCUGCUGGGAAUGAGCUUAGGAGUUGGCCAAGAGUAUUUCAGAGAAUUCUUCGAAGGAAACGAUUCAAUAAUGAGGUUGAACUACUAUCCCAGAUGCCAAAAACCAGAUUUAACACUAGGAACUGGGCCUCACUGUGAUCCCACUUCCUUAACAAUUCUUCAUCAAGAUCAAGUAGGCGGCCUUCAAGUGUUUGUAGAUGAAAAGUGGCGCUCUGUUACUCCUAAGCCUGAUGCUUUUGUUGUCAACAUUGGUGAUACAUUUAUGGUAAGUUAUUUCAUUUAUGAAUUAGGCUCAGUUUGUUUAGACAGAAAAUCUUUUUCGUUUUUCCCCCUACGAAAAGUCUACAAGACUCCAACAUGUGGGACAAAAACAGGACCUUCAGAAGACUUUCUACACAAAAUAUGAGGCAUUCUUUAUGGAUUUGAAUAUAUGCUUUCUCUGAUGUGAUUUUUCAGGCUCUAUCCAAUGGGAUUUACAAGAGCUGCUUGCAUAGAGCAGUGGUUAACAACAGAACUGUGAGGAAAUCUCUUACUUUCUUCCUUUGUCCCAAAAAGGACAGGGUGGUGACCCCACCAAGAGGUUUGGUUGAUUCCAAGAGCCCAAGGAUGUACCCGGACUUUACCUGGCCGACUUUGCUAGAGUUUACACAGAAACACUACCGGGCUGACAUGAAGACGCUGGAUGCCUUCUCAGACUGGAUUAUAAAUAAAAACAACUAACCAUGAAAGAAGCACCAGGAAAAGUAGGUGUACGUAAUGCUUUGGUGGGUGUUCAUGGGAAAAGAUGACAGAAACACCAAGAAGGGAGGAGAGGGAACUAGGCUGUUAACUAGUGUGUCAUCGUCGGAGAGAAUCAUGUCAGUUUGGAGGCAUAAAUAAGUUAAGGGGCUCCAUAUCUUCUUAAUUUUACUUUUCUGUCAAUUCAACAAUGAAUCAUUGUAAUUAUAAUAUAUACUUUGUUGACCACCAAGCUGUGUUGUUAUUGGACUUCCAUAAACUAUUCUAAUUAAUAUCUGCAUGUACAGCCGUCAACUUCCAAAGAAAUUAUGCCUCUCAGCUUGAUAUCAAAGUAAAGGAACAAAUAGAUAGUAUUAUUAAAAUCUAGAACAAUGUAUACUUUACUAUAUCUUAAUUACUAUGAGAAAUUAUAUGCAGGGUGAGGUUUUUCUCAUUUCAUCCUCACAAGUAUCGACAGUGACGUGAGUUUUAACAACUAGGGUAAUGUCCUUUGCUUAAGAUGCACAAAGUUUUAAUAUAUAAAUUGGUGUGCAUCUUUGCUUUUUACUACUUCAACAAAAAGUGAAAAAUAGUUUUUAGGUAAACAUUAAAGAAAUACUUGUAAAGAGAACAUAAGGAUUAGAAUUAGAUUCACAACCAAGCACUAUAACUAUUUUAUAUUAGGUUUUUCUAGUUUUAAUAUUAUCAGUUAUAUCUGUCUAGUUCAGCAACAUUGCAAUGGAGCUCAAAAUCAAUUCUUUGUCAAAUCAAUUGAAAGAACUACCAUUUGUUGGUAACAUGAAAGGUUACUAAAUUUUGCUAAAUCCUGAGUAUAAUCUUAUUACUAUUGCACAUGUUUACUUACCGGAAAUGGAGGAAGCCAUGAAUCAGGGAAUUUAGAUAAGAGAAUCAAGGUAUUGGAACCGGAUCAACUACUCCCCCUAGUUGAUACCAUUCCCGAUUUUGAGGGUAUUUAAUUACGAAUUUUACUGUGGAAUUCGCAUAAUAUUUUAUUCCUUGCUUGUUAGUAAACGCGGAAAAUCAGGAAUUGGAAUCAUUCCAAUAUGCAUGCGUUAGUAAACAGAGGAGAAGCAUAUAUUGGAUUCAUUCCAAUACCCAUUUCUGAUAAGUAAACAUUCCAAAGACCCUUUGUUAAAUAAAACUGUUAGAAGACUACAUAAAUGUAAUUAAGACAUAUUUUUAUUAGCCUAAUUUUAGCCAUAAUUUUUUUUAGUAAAAAGAAAACACCAACUACAAAAAAAAAAUUUAAAUAAAUAAAAUAUUUUUUAAAAAAACCAACAACAACAACAAUUGGAAAGCAAAGCAUUACCAGAACAUCCAUGGCUGAAACACCAAGAAUUGGGAAGAGCUCACCCCAUGUCAGCUGCUGAGUACCCACGAAAACCCAAGAGCUUGAAGCCUCAGACAACAACAAAGUGAAAAGGUUGAAGCAAUUCCUCAGUUGCCCAACUGAAAACCAUCAAAUUGAAGCCAAUGCGUGAAGGACCAAAGAUAGGCCAAGGCGUAGCGAAGCAGAGUGUGGAGGUCAAGCUUGUGAGCUUAAGGGCUGGAGUGGAUGUCAAACUUGAGAGAGAACGAUCGGGUUUUGUGAGGGAGAUUUUAAAAAUAAAACAAAAUGAAAAAGGCCAAUAUUUUACUUCUUACUUUUUCAAAACCAUUUUUUUAAUGUCUGCCCAAAUAUGGUUUUGAAUACCUUUUGC
rnacentral:lncRNA from 1 species